GGAUCGUGGCGACGUGGGCGGUUCGCCGCCGANNACGUCGCGAGAAUUCCACUGAACCUUAUCAUUUAGAGGAAGGAGAAGUCGUAACAAGGUUUCCGUAGGUGAACCUGCGGAAGGAUCAUUG
rnacentral:rRNA from 1 species